rnacentral:rRNA from 1 species
UACGUAGGGGGCAAGCGUUGUCCGGAUUUAUUGGGCGUAAAGAGCGUGUAGGCGGCCAUGUAGGUCCGUUGUGAAAACUCGAGGCUCAACCUCGAGACGCCGAUGGAAACCAUGUGGCUAGAGUCCGGAAGAGGAGAGUGGAAUUCCUGGUGUAGCGGUGAAAUGCGCAGAUAUCAGGAAGAACACCUAUGGCGAAGGCAGCUCUCUGGGACGGUACUGACGCUGAGGUGCGAAAGCGUGGGGAGCAAACAGG